rnacentral:sRNA from 1 species
UCUGGUGCCUUAUUCCUACUGGACGCGGCACUCACAUCCCCACGGGGAGCUGACUCCCAAGUUGGCCUCGGAAGUGGGGACGCCUGGCAAGCGGSRCGWGRGGAGGGUAGUGUCCGUUGGUGGAGAGGGGACUAGGUGGUAUCUCUUAGCCGAAGCCAAGCAGAGACUGCACAAAUCCACACAAAGUUAACACCUGCAACCUGGAACACACCCUAAACUCAUGCUUCCUCAUCCGAGCUUUCCUUCCUUCUUCCUCUUCUAUCUCUGCCUUCUCGUCAAGGUGCUGCUGCUGCUGCUGCUAAGGUGCCCGGAGUCCAGAACACCCAGUAAUCACUCAGGCACGAGCCUGGCACUGCCACGUCAGCCCCUGGCACGACCAAACCCGGGUUUCUUUUGCUGGGGGCUGCGAACCGUCAGAUUUUUCUCAUCAAAAAUGUUUUCCAAGGAAUCAGUGGAUGACAGUUAUUCUGCAUUGAAAAUGCACUUUAAAAAAAUAAAUAAAAGCUCCAGACUGUUUAAAAUGUACAGAGGGAGCAGGGGAAAGAUAAACACGUGCUAGUGUCUGAACCCAGUUCAGUUUAUCUCCAGUUGAAACAAUAUACACUAUAUUAUGUAUAAAUGUAUACACACUUCCUAUAUAUAUCCAUAUAUAUAUAGUGUAUAUAUUAUACAUGUAUAGGUGUGUAUAUGUGCAUAUACACACACAUGCACAUAACAAAUCCAGAUGCUCAUUACAAAACCAGAUGCUACAGGAACAGCAGCAGAGGAAACAAGGUUGGACUCUUGCAACAGAUCACAAAAAAUAAAAACAGCCACUUGCAGUGACUUUGGUCAUUUCUGUAUGUUCACAAGGAAUGGAUUGUAACAAAGAAAAAAGGAACAGUGUUAGUGAAAGAGGAAAAAAUGGGCGAAACCAUCUUGAUCCAAUGGGAAUGCAGUAAUGUUCUAUACCAUUUCACCCACUUAUUUUAGUCAUGUUGAUUUGAUUUCAGUUUUUGGCUAGCAAUUUCUUUUAAACUCAAGUGACCCACAACAAACAACAAAACAACUACAGUGAAAGCCCUUUUCAGUGGAAGAUGUCAGAAAUCUCAAAACCCUUGGCCUGACUCAGAACUACCAUGUGCAAAUCAGUACUCUCAAUGUUUGAAAUAAAACUGAAAAAAAAAAAAAAAAAACUCGAGGAUCCGGGUACCGUGGCCAUCCAUUCAAGGCMMUAKRGUGMSUCUUUUUUMUUUGAGCACCUUAUUGACGUGUUUUGCUAUCUGCUGUCUUUCUGUUACCUGUUGGCUGAAUGGCUAGCUGUUAACACACACGCAUGCCCAGAGCAGAGGUAUGGGCAUGCGUGGUCUCAAUGAAGUUUACUGUGGUGACUGCUGAAAGGUGAACCCGGUUCCUGAUCUUCCCGCCACAGUGUUGUGAUAAGAUUCGAAGAAACCCUAUUCCCGGCACAGAAAUGUUUCUUAUCACGUUGUAUCCUAGUAUGGAARGGAAUAUGGUCCCUUUUUUGCAAUUGCUACUGUACACACACACACACCACACCCACACACAUGCACAAACACAUUCAUUCGUCCAAGUGGUAUUUUCAGUGUCUGUGUGGGUGUCACUGUCUACGCAGUUUCUGUUUCCCAGUGAGUUUUGAAUGGAGGGCAACUUUUCUAACCAGAUUGUCUCUUCAGACUGAAGACCUGGGAAUUGGGGAAGAUUUUGGAAAGAGGGAGAGGCAAGGAAAAAGAGAGCUUUAAACUGAAAGAAUAAUUUCCCACAAGGAGCCUGGGCUCAUGAACUGCAGAGACUGUACCCUCCAGUCUCUGCAGGUGGCCAGGGGACACCGCUUGUAUCAAUCUGUGCACCGUACAAACACAUGUCACCACCAACACACACAUCCACCCACCCAUCAAUAUAUAUACGUGGUUUGGGAUGAGCAGGUCAAUAGUUUUGAGAGGGAGUUUGUUCCUUUUUUUUUUUUUCAUUAUACUCUUAAAUUGUUGUCAGUUAUCAAACAAACAAACAACAAAUUGUUUUGAAAAACCUUGCAUACGCCUUUUCUAUCAAGUGCUUUAAAAUAUAGACUAAAUACACACAUCCUGCCAGUUUUUUCUUACAGUGACAGUAUCCUUACCUGCCAUUUAAUAUUAGCCUCGUAUUUUUCUCACGUAUAUUUACCUGUGACUUGUAUUUGUUAUUUAAACAGGAAAAAAACAUUCAAAAAAAGAAAAAUUAACUGUAGCGCUUCAUUAUACUAUAUUAUUAUUAUUAUUAUUAUUGUGACAUUUUGGAAUACUGUGAAGUUUUAUCUCUUGCAUAUACUUUAUACGGAAGUAUUACGCCUUAAAAAUACGAAAAUAAAUUUUACAAGGUUUCUGUUUUGUGUGGAAGAGUAAUUGAUGUUGCUAAGAAUGAUGUUUGUUUUUUGGGGUUUUUGUUGUUUUUUUUUAAAUGUUACCAGCACUUUUUUUGUAAGUUUCACUUUCCGAGGUAUUGUACAAGUUCACACUGUUUGUGAAGUUUGAAUAUGAAGGAAUAAUUAAAAAAAAAAAAAAAAACCUCGUGC